AUUGAACGCUGGCGGAAUGCUUUACACAUGCAAGUCGAGCGGCAGCGCGGGGCAACCUGGCGGCGAGCGGCGAACGGGUGAGUAAUACAUCGGAACGUGCCCAGACGUGGGGGAUAACUACUCGAAAGAGUGGCUAAUACCGCAUACGAUCUACGGAUGAAAGCGGGGGAUCGCAAGACCUCGCGCGUCUGGAGCGGCUGAUGGCAGAUUAGGUAGUUGGUGGGAUAAAAGCCUACCAAGCCAACGAUCUGUAGCUGGUCUGAGAGGAUGAUCAGCCACACUGGGACUGAGACACGGCCCAGACUCCUACGGGAGGCAGCAGUGGGGAAUUUUGGACAAUGGGCGAAAGCCUGAUCCAGCCAUUCCGCGUGCAGGAUGAAGGCCCUCGGGUUGUAAACUGCUUUUGUACAGAACGAAAAAGACUCUGGCUAAUACCUGGAGUCCAUGACGGUACUGUAAGAAUAAGCACCGGCUAACUACGU
rnacentral:rRNA from 1 species